rnacentral:rRNA from 1 species
CCUACGGGAGGCAGCAGUGAGGAAUCUUGGUCAAUGGGCGCAAGCCUGAACCAGCCAAGCAGCGUGAAGGAAGACUGCCCUACGGGUUGUAAACUUCUUUCAUAUGGGAAUAAAGUGCAGUAUGUAUACUGCUCUGCAUGUACCCUACGAAUAAGGAUCGGCUAACUCCGUGCCUGCAGCCGCGGUAAUACGGAGGCUCCGAGCGUUAUCCGGAUUUAUUGGGUUUAAAGGGAGCGUAGGCGGGUUGUUAAGUCAGUUGUGAAAGUUUGCGGCUCAACCGUAAAAUUGCAGAUGAUACUGGGAUCCUUGAGUACAGUAGAGGUAGGCGGAAUUCGUGGUGUAGCAGUGAAAUGCUUAGAUAUCGCGAAGAACACCGAUUGCGAAGGCAGCCUGCUGGACUGUAACUGACGCUGAUGCUCGAAGGUGUGGGGAGCGAACAGGAUUAGAUACCCCUGUAGUC